rnacentral:rRNA from 1 species
CUCAGAGGGCGGACGGGCGCAUUGGGACUGAGAUACGGCCCAGACUCCUACGGGAGGCAGCAGCUAAGAAUAUUCCGCAAUGGGGGGAACCCUGACGGAGCGACGCCGCGUGGGCGAGGAAGGCCGGAAGGUCGUAAAGCCCUUUUGCGCGCGAGGAAUAAGGGGAGGAGGGAAUGCCUUCCCGGUGACUGUAGCGCGCGAAUAAGCGCCGGCUAAUUACGUGCCAGCAGCCGCGGUAACACGUAAGGCGCGAGCGUUGUUCGGAAUCAUUGGGCGUAAAGGGCGUGUAGGCGGCCCUGCAAGCCUGGCGUGAAAUCCCGGGGCCCAACCCCGGAACCGCGCUGGGAACUGCUGGGCUUGAGCCGCUGUGGCGCAGCCGGAAUUCCAGGUGUAGGGGUGAAAUCUGUAGAUAUCUGGAAGAACACCGAUGGCGAAGGCAGGCUGCGAGCGGACGGCUGACGCUGAGGCGCGAAGGCGCGGGGAGCGAACAGGAUUAGAUACCCUGGUAGUCCGCGCAGUAAACGAUGCACACUGGGUGUCCGGGCAUGAGCCCGGGUGCCGAAGCGAACGCGUUAAGUGUGCCGCCUGGGGAGUAUGCCCGCAAGGGUGCAACUCAAAGGAAUUGACGG